rnacentral:rRNA from 1 species
GGCGAACGGGUGAGUAACACGUGGGUGAUCUGCCCUGCACUCUGGGAUAAGCCUGGGAAACUGGGUCUAAUACCGGAUAGGACCAUGCUUUAGUGUGUGUGGUGGAAAGUUUUUCGGUGUAGGAUGAGCCCGCGGCCUAUCAGCUUGUUGGUGAGGUAAUGGCCUACCAAGGCGGCGGCGGGUAGCCGGACUGAGAGGUUGGUCGGCCACAUUGGGACUGAGAUACGGCCCAG